rnacentral:ncRNA from 1 species
GUGAUAAAGGCAAACCCAUCGAAAGAUGGCGACGCAAAGCUACAGGGGCUUCAGCGAAUGAUACUCGCUAUGCCAGCCAGUUACCGA